GAUGAACGCUAGCGAUAGGCUUAACACAUGCAAGUCGAGGGGCAGCAUGGUCUUAGCUUGCUAAGGCCGAUGGCGACCGGCGCACGGAUGCGUAACGCGUAUGCAACUUGCCUCACAGAGGGGGAUAACCCGUCGAAAGACGGACUAAUACCGCGUACACCCUAUGUUGGGCAUCCAAUGUAGAGGAAAUGAAAUUCGCUGUGAGAUAGGCAUGCGUCCCAUUAGCUAGUUGGUGAGGUAACGGCCCACCAAGGCGACGAUGGGUAGGGGAACUGAGAGGGUGACACCCCACACUGGUACUGAGACACAGACCAGACUCCUACGGGAGGCAGCAGUGAGGAAUAUUAGUCAAUGGGCGAGGGCCUGAACCAGCCAAGUCGCGUGAAGGAUGACUGUCUUAUGGAUUGUAAACUUCUUUUAAACGGGAAUAACAAGAGUCACGUGUGGCUCCCUGACUGUACCGUAUGAAUAAGCAUCGGCUAACUCCGUG
rnacentral:rRNA from 1 species